CUUCAGCAUGCGAUGUACUCACUUUGUCCUUGGAAAUCAUUUAAAAAGAAAGCAAGCUGCAAUUGCAUAGAUGAUAUUACUUCUCUGAAAGGUUAGAUUUACCCCUUUGAACUGUCAAUAGUUGGAUGAAAGCCUUCCAUGGAAAGAAUGAGAAUGGUGGAGAAAAUAGUUUGUUGGUGCUUGAUGUUGACUGAGGGAGUCAGGGAGGCGCUGCAUGUCUGAAGAGCUGUGUAGCCCAAAGCCUGAUUCAAAGAAGUCAUGCUGCUUUUAAUGAGAGUAGCCAGAGCAGCAGAAGUUAUGACUGAAUGCUAGUUCUUCCACUUUUAUCUAGCUGGAUUUUUUUCUUAAUUAUCUAAGUUUGCUUGAAUAUGUACUUCAUUUUCAUCCAUGUUCUUCAACUGUUCCAUGGCUUUGCUGUGAGCUGAGAAACAUUUGCUACGCUCUGCCUGCUGGGUUGCAUUUUUUUCUCCACACAUUCAUACUGGGCUAACAUUUGAUUGUGAGUGAAGAUUCUUUCUGUUUUGCAGAUCUCUUUAGGAUCCUUCAGAAAGAGUGCUGGUGUAGAAACAGCAGUGUUGCACAGAUGCGUAUCAGGCUAUGAGAUAAAUGGAAGUUGCUCUGGAAAAAGAUGGAAGUAGUACUGUGAUACGUUAGAGAUCAUCAUUGGUCUUCACUCACUCCAUUAACUAAGAGAAACUCCUACCUGAAUCCAUUUGGUUUUGCUGAAAAUUUAUGGGAGAUGGAACUGGGUAAAUAGGAUGACUGGGAUGAUGCACCCAAGCAAGGCGAGGUGGUGGAAGGAGUGUUCUGCUGCUUGCUGAAAGACUAGGGAGGUUUCCAAACUGCCUUUCCUGUAGGGAAAGAGAAGAUUGCUCCUUCCUGGUAAGAAGGGCAGUAAGCACUGCAGACAACUGUUGAGUCGUCUGCUCACACCCAGCGCCUGCUUGAAUCCAGCGUGCAGCUGGACUGGCUCAGGCACCGCGCUUCUCUUGGAGCACCUAUAUUGAUCUGAAAGGGUGUAAGUUUCUAGACCUACUUUAGUCAAGGCUGUAGUGAAAGUGUCAGGAUUUGUCUUUGAUGAGGCAUUCCCUAAAACAGAAAUAAUUGUUCCUCAAGAAAUCAUGGGCCUAAAUCACAGCAAAAUCUACUUUAAGUAACUGAAAUGAGGCAUGCAGCUUGGCUAAUGUGCCACUUUGUUACAAUGUGUAGUUACAGGAAGGGUAUAGAUUUGUCUCUUGUUUCUUCCUGCUGAUCUAGGUGUGAUCCAGCAAAACAAGCAGCUGGUGACAAUAAAAAUUCAACUUAUACAAUUGGAAGGUUCACGUCAACGCAUAACAAAAACAUGCUUAUGGACGCUGCUAAAUAUGUGUUACUAUGAGCUGAGUGCAGUCAUCCUGAAGGCUCUACAUCUACGUUUCUUGAAGAGUGAAUGAGCGCACAUAGAUCUGAACUGUUUAACUCCUACCAUGUACUAUCACUAGAGUUAUGGAAAUAGCUAGUGAUUUGGCUUUAUUUUAUUAGAUGAUUUGUUUUGAGGAGUCCUAAAAGGUCCUUGACUUUCUGAGACUGGCAUAGUCAGCUUUUUCUGAAAACAAAACUCUACUAAUGCUGUCACUACAUUUUUAAAAUCUCAGCCAAUUUGCAGGUGCAUGAACAUAGCAACAGACACAAACACAUAGAUACAGACAUAUGUAUUUCACAUAUACUAUAUACAGAAUACAGAACAGGAGGUGCUAGUCUUUUCUUCAACAAGGCAUGCAGUUAUCAGUGCCUCUUUUUCAUUUAACCACCAAAAAAAAUAAAUUAAAAAAAAAAAAUUAGGGUCUGUUUCUGACUGAGGAGUAUAGAACAUGCUCCAUUUUAUACCAUAUAUAUGCUUGCCUAUCAGCUGGCUAUUUCUCUAAUACAUCUACAUAAUCAGAACAUUUCUUUCUUCUCUCUCUCUUUUUUUUUUUAGGCUGAAAUGAGUACUUUAUUUUUGUUGAAUGAUUCACUUUCCACAACUGUUAUUACUUCUCUAGCCUACUCUGAGUUUGCAAUAGUGACUGAAAUGUUCCCAGACAAGCAGAUGGGAAAAUGGCCUGUAAAUCUUUAUUGUUAUAAACGGUUUGUAAAACUUUGGAUGUUGAAAGGUAAGAGUAGUUCAAAUAAAUCUCAACAAUGCUGACUCAAAGGUUUAAAGCAUUGCUUAAAUCCCUUGAUUAACCCAGCUUCUCAAUAUUUGACAUGAAUCAAUAACUCUUAGAUGUCUUUGCUGUUCUCUAGCUUUGUAAAUAUUUACACAGCUAGUCCCAUGAAAUAUGACAUUUAAUCCUGUUGAAGUAAUUCUUUGUAUGCUGCAUAUGAAGAGAUAUAAAGUAUAACAGUUCCAGUGAUGCUAGUUAAAUAAUUGGCACUAAGGAUGAAAUCUGCUGCAUUUCUUUUGUCAAUAACCAGGAUUUAUACAAUGUAAGUGUGAGUCAAUGGAAAGCAAAAUCCACCUUCUGUCACAAAUCUUGGGCCAGCUGCUGGGAAUGCAGAUUUCCUGAUCCCGGCUUGUGCCUGGGCCUGUGGCUCAGCAUUAACAGCAAUUCCGUUAAUAACUUUUGUUCCAGUUAAAUGAGGUGUUGAGAGCUAGAUCAAGGCAAAUAGUGAAAGGAUGGUACCUCUAUUAGCUUGUCCUCAGCCUUCCCUUUCUGCGAUAUACCAUAAUGAAUGGUCUGUGUGCUCCAGGAAACAGGAAGAUGCUCUACCCAGAGUUUCUAGGAGCUGGGAAAGCCUUCUGUAGGAAUCUCAGUGCAAAAGGGUUGUACCAGCCCUCCAGAUCAUGGCUGGGAUUCCUGCUAACAAACAAGAUUUGUAGCAGGUUUGUGUUUCAACAGUUUAGCUUAAGCAGCACACUGAUAUGCUUGUUCCUAAGACACCACACUUUUAGUCAGUGUUUACUGAUUCAGUCUGAUUCCUCUGUGGAUUCUGCCAGGUUUUGUAGUUGUACUCCUUGCCUCUAGGUAUUUCAGAAGCAGAAGGUGUUGGGGAAUAAUGAGGAAGCAGAGAAACAUCACAGUGGCACAAGGUAUUCAGAGCUGGCCAACAAGAAAUCAGAAGUGGAUCUUCCUUCAGAUAUGCUCCAUUUUCAUGCAAAAUUGGACCUUUCUGUGCUUCUGGGAUGGAUUUCUAUCCUAGAAGAGAGCCUGCAAUAGCAUGUUUAUUGGCUUUCCUAUGAAAAAAUGAGAGAAAAGGGGUGCCCAGUUCUCAAAUCCAUAGUAAAGGCCUUCUUUCUAUGGAAUUUUUCAGACUGUAAUCAGAAAUAAAAUACAUUUCUGCAGGUUCUUUUAAAAUUGUUCUCUAGCUUAAAGGCAUCCUGCCUGUUACAAAGUGCAGAAAAAGAUUGCAUUCUGUGUCAUGUAUUUAGAAGUAUUUUAGCUUCUUAUUUGCUUUAUCACACCAAACCCCUUAAAAACCCCUCAGUAUAUGAAAAGGUCUUCAUGCAGAAGUACUACAGUGGUGCUGUACUUCUGUAGCCCAGUUUGACCACUGCAUAAUCCAAGCAGAGAGAUGUAGGCUCAAAAGGACAGUGCACCACACAAAAGGUGAUGUGGGAAGUCAAUGAAAUUACUGUCAGUUUUCCUGAGUGUAUGCUUAUACAGCCCUUAGGAGGUGGUUUUUUUCUGCGUUUUUGCCUAUAUAUCCACAAAUAUAUAUAAUUCUGGUUGGGACAAAAUCCAGGUGAUUGUAUUUGGAUCACUAAUGGAUUCUUCUUCACCUUUGUUUCCAUGUUAUGUUCUAUUGCUUGUCUUAUUGACUAUUCUUCCCUCCCAAGCUAAGACUGAGUAGGAUCUGCAGAAUGUUGCUUAUAGUUAGGGAUGUACUUUGACAUACUUUGGAAGAAAAAAAUUAUGUUUAUGCACAAAGGUUUGCAUUUUCAGCUGCACCUGUGAGAAGGCCCAAGAGAUUUGAAGAGGAUUUGGUCCAGUUGGAAAUCAGGCUGGAGACAGUAUGUUGAAAUACGAAUUAAAACUUUCAGAGCUGAAAAUAUAAAACUAAUUAUCUUGGUUAAGAAAAAGUAAAAACUUUUAAUUCACUCUGGUCGAUUAAUGUUAGUCUUUAGAUAGCAAGUUAACAAGUACGUAAAUAGCAAUGGGACAAAUUAACAGAGGAGCCUUAUGUACAUAGACAUUUGCUCAGCCACCCAAAGUUCCUAAAGGUUCAGCUGCAAGUCUGGAAGCGUAACCACUGGUGUCUGAAAUAGAAGACAUGGAAAUAGAUGUUUGGUUUGUUUUUUUUUCUCUUUCUACAUUGUGCGGUUUACCACAUAAACAAACAAAAAAAGGCCACAGGUAAUGGUCGUGAUCAUGGAGUGCUUGAAGGGCAUAUACCUUCACUUACUGCAAAGCAGAGACAUGUCAAAGAUAUGUUGCUUCAGCUACAAAACAUACAUGCAAGAAUCCCUACAUACCUAGCAGCUGUCAGGAUUAAGUGAUCUGAUCAAUCUUUUCUGUAUCUCUUUUUAAUAAUAAUUGUUUGUACUUAAGGAAUAAUGUUUCGUCAUCCACGUCUGAGGAAUAGCUUGCUUUUUUUGCCUUUGAUGCGCAGCAGAACUCGGAAUUCUUAUUGCAAAAAAAGGCCAGAGAGCAGACGAGGCAAAAUGACAGAUUCAGGUAAAACAUGAGCAGCCGGUUCACGACAAGCAAGUUCAGUGCGUGACGAUCUUCCUGCUCUUCCCUAGGGACUGAGCAGAACCGCUGAAGAAGGAGCAGAUGGAAACAGCUGCCAACAGAUGAGUACUGGAAAGGAUUCAAGCCCCGGUACUUGCUGGAACUUGGGAGUUUGUGAUGGCCUGAGCUUGCCCGAUGACAGACAGGGGUUACCACGCAUGCUGAGAUGAUUUGUGCCCUACUGAGGGACUUGGCCAGAGAAUCGCAUCAUGGCCCUGCUGUCAUCUCCUGUUCCUCUGCAUCUGCCCCACCUGCCUUCUAGUAAGCAACCUAUCUCCCCGAGGACCAUUGCUUACAGCACAGGCCAUAUUGUGCCUUCAAAGACCUUCCAUUUUCUCUCUCCUUUUGUCUUUCUUUUUCACUUAAAACAAAGAAAAAUAGAGCGGUACCCUAAAAUUUGUGCAGUAAUUAAAAAAACCCAUAUUAUUACUAUAAUUUUUCUCUCUGUUUCUGUAGAAGGCUCUUGGUAGGGAAGAGCUUGGCUUUUCCAACAUAUUUUUUCCUGCUUUUCCUAGUGUAUGGGGCUCCAGGUGCUGACUGAAGACCGUGAAUAUUUUUGCUGUUUCCUCACCAACAAAUUUUCUGUUCUAGAAAGAUGACAAAACAGAACAUUGAAUUCACCAAGAGACUAUUUCAGAAAGAACUGCAAUUUACGUCUUAUCCAGCAGAUGUUGCUGUUAGACCAAAAAACGACUCAAGGUCAGUUCAAGUGGGUUAAGGAGGACUGUAAUUCAGAGAGUUUCAACAGUUCCGGGAUUUUAUCCAGCAUCUCCAGAUCUGGUCCCUUGAGAUUGGGAGACCCCCUUUUACAGCCAUGGACAUGCAACACUAGGUGACUGUGCUGAGACACAGACCUCUGAGUGAAUCUGACUCCAAGCAAAAAACCAACACCACCUCCACCACAAUCACAACCUUCCUCAGUCUUGUGAUUAAGUGGGUUAUUUUCUGUCAGAGUUUUUAAUAAAUUUUUUAUAAAUAGUGGAAAGCUUCACUUCAUAUACAGUAUUUGCCUCACUAUUGAUGAAUGUGGGGUUAUUCAUCGAGUCUUACAUAAAAUAGCACGCUUGUUGAUGUUGCUAAGAUGCAUGUCAAAGAUGAAAGUUAUUGACGUUUUAGAAAGAAAAUGUGUGUUCAAUGCUGUGCUGACUGUACUAUUGGGAAAACCCUGAGGUUUUCUAUCACCCUGUGGUUACGGGAUAGGUCAGUUUUCACAAUUAAACUUGCAAUGUUAAGGUCUUUA